CCUGGGUGGUUCUACCUUAGAGUCUCUUUUGUGGUUGCAGUCACACUGUGGCUGGAGCUAGGGCAGCUGGGGGCUGGCUCGGCAUCUCAAUUUUUCUAGUCUCAACGCCUCUGCAUGUGUCUCUCUGCAUGAGCCAGUUUAGGUUUCCUCACAGCAUGGCAGACCCAGGGUGGUGACACUUAUUACACUCAGGACUCCAGUGAGUCAGGCUGCAUGGCCUGCAUGACCCAGCCUCAGAAGUCACCAUAACAUCAUUGCCACCAUAGUCUGCCAGCUGAGCAGUCACCAAAGUGGGCCAGAUUCAAGGCUCUUGGAACACUCACUUGUGAGACGCUCCCUCUUGGACCCCAGUACCCGUGCCAAAGAAGCCCAAGCCAUGUGGAGAGGCCACACCUAGGUGCUCCAGUUGACAGUGCCAGCCGUACCUCCAGCCCACAGGUAGCGCCCACUGGUGUAUGGGACAGCGUCAUGCAAGGGAGUCUUCUUAGAUAUUCUAGCCCACUUGAGCCCUCAGAUGAGAUCAUGAUGCUGAGCACAAGAACUACCUCGCUGAAUCCCGAAAACCCACAGAAUCUUGACAGAUAAUAAAACGGCAUCUUUUUAAGCUA